UACGAAGGGGGCUAGCGUUGCCCGGAAUCACUGGGCGUAAAGGGUGCGUAGGCGGGUCUUUAAGUCAGGGGUGAAAUCCUGGAGCUCAACUCCAGAACUGCCUUUGAUACUGAAGAUCUUGAGUCCGGGAGAGGUGAGUGGAACUGCGAGUGUAGAGGUGAAAUUCGUAGAUAUUCGCAAGAACACCAGUGGCGAAGGCGGCUCACUGGCCCGGUACUGACGCUGAGGCACGAAAGCGUGGGGAGCAAACAGG
rnacentral:rRNA from 1 species